GAACAGAGGCCACCUUCGCCUGAGGGGUAGUGGUGGCCCUGCCCGGUUCCUUUUCUUCUCCUGCUGGCUCUCAAGCCCUUGUUCUCUCUGCAGUCUGCAUGAGCUCGUGAGACAUGGAGAGAAUGGCCUGGUCUUCAAGGACGCUGAGGAACUGGCCACUCAGCUACAGAUGCUUUUCUCAAAGUUUCCCGACCCUGCUGGGAAGCUGAGCCAGUUCCGGAAGAGACUCCAGGAGUCAGAGCAGCUACGAUGGGAUGAGAGCUGGCAGCAGACUGUGCUGCCGUUGUUGGUCACUCACAAAUGACCUCCAGGCCCAGAGGGUAGGCCCCAUCCAUCCUGUGCCCACCCUUCCUGCCAGGGCUCUUGAGUGCCCCCUAGUGGUCAGAAGCCUGAGGACGGCAGUGGUUACACCCAGGAAAAGAAUCAUCCAGCAUCUGAGAAGCUCUUCCGAACUGAGGACUUUUGUUACUUCCGGUGACCCUGCCAACCAACUUCUUCAUCCUGGGUUUUUGUUUCUGGACUCUUCACAUUCCUUGUAUUCUGGUUCUGCUGGCUGCUGUGAGCUCUGGGAUA
rnacentral:lncRNA from 1 species